rnacentral:rRNA from 1 species
AGACGCUGGCGGCGUGCCUAACACAUGCAAGUCGAGCGGAGAGUAAGCGGAUGGUAACUGAAGUUUGUCUUAGCGGCGGACGGGGUGAGUAACACGUGGGCAACCUGCCUUGGAGUGGGGGAUAACACCGGGAAAUCGGUGCUAAUACCGCAUAACAUACACAUACUGCAUGGUGAGUGUAUCAAAGGAGCAAUCCGCUUUAAGAUGGGCCCGCGGCUGAUUAGCUAGUUGGUAAGGUAACGGCUUACCAAGGCGACGAUCAGUAGCCGACCUGAGAGGGUGACCGGCCACACUGGAACUGAGACACGGUCCAGACUCCUACGGGAGGCAGCAGUGGGGAAUAUUGCGCAAUGGGGGAAACCCUGACGCAGCAACGCCGCGUGGAGGAAGAAGGUCUUCGGAUUGUAAAACUCCUGUCUUCUGGGACGAAGUAUGACGGUACCAGAGGAGGAAGCCACGGCUAACUACGUG